UUAUUUAGACUAUGAACAUUAUAAAAAGCUAGAGCUUUCUUAUUCUAUGAACUCCAAUCUAUAUCUCAAGCCUCGCGGGUGUUGAUAUGCAAAUGCAAACAUAGGGAAAGCAUCUUAAAGCUCUUUAGAAUCAAAGCGCAAGCAAGAAAACGGUGAGAAACCUUAAACCUUUACUCUGUUUUCUCUUUUCGAUUUGUGUAAUUUCU
rnacentral:lncRNA from 1 species